rnacentral:piRNA from 1 species
UGAAGAGAGUCCUAAACUGGAGUAAAGA